rnacentral:rRNA from 1 species
AUUGAACGCUGGCGGCAUGCCUUACACAUGCAAGUCGAACGGUAACGGGCCUUCGGGUGCCGACGCGUGGCGAACGGGUGAGUAAUACACCGGAACGUGCCCGAUCGUGGGGGAUAACGAGGCGAAAGCUUUGCUAAUACCGCAUACGAUCUACGGAUGAAAGCAGGGGACCGCAAGGCCUUGCGCGGGCGGAGCGGCCGAUGGCAGAUUAGGUAGUUGGUGGGAUAAAAGCUUACCAAGCCGACGAUCUGUAGCUGGUCUGAGAGGAUGAUCAGCCACACUGGGACUGAGACACGGCCCAGACGCCUACGGGAGGCAGCAGUGGGGAAUUUUGGACAAUGGGCGCAAGCCUGAUCCAGCCAUGCCGCGUGCAGGAUGAAGGCCUUCGGGUUGUAAACUGCUUUUGUACGGAACGAAAAGCCUUCUUUUAAUACAGGAGGGUCAUGACGGUACCGGAAGAAUAAGCACCGGCUAACUACGUG